GGAGCAGCUGUCCAUUUCGGUCGUCGGCUCAUCGUGCCAUCGAUUCACCACCGGGCAUGGGAGAUCUGGUGUCGCCGAGGUCGUGCACUGGAUUAAAUCCCUUUCUCCUCUAUUCUUAUUACUGUCAUCGUUCGAUCCGUUCACCACCGGUGCUUCUUGUCGCCUUCCCUAGUCGGAUUUCCUCCGCAAGCUGAGGUAGUUGUCGUUGGCCCUUUCCGACCACGAGCCUGCAUCAUUCCUUCAUGGGUGACCUAGUUUUGGAUCCAACGCCGUCUCCUUUCACUGGAGGAUUUUCUACCUUUCUCAUAGCCCUUCCCUAGCCUGGGUCAUUGCUCUAUAUUGCCGGUGUCACCCUACCUUCUACCUUUGCUCAUGAUCACAACAGUAGCACUCAUCUGAGAGGAGUUUAUGGAACUGGAUUGAUUCUUGAAGGCAGUGGUUUCGCUUGGCUUCAACCUUCACAUUUUCGAUCGCUUGUAGCCAUCUUCGCCGGAUCCAUUGUCACCUCGGGCUGUUGAAGACAAAGAGGAUUUGAGUUUGAUGUGAUCUUUUGAACUUGUUGAAGAUGGUUGACAUGGUCGACAGAUAAAGACGGCAGGUAAAGGAUUUAUGGAGUCGCCUGGAGGUCCUGUCCGCCAGUCUCACGUCACAUUCGAGAACGAUCUUAUGAUUUUAGUAUUCCUUUCGCUAUUUAUAUUUUGGUUUUGUACUUGUUCUUGUAUUUGUGUAUUCUGUUAUUUGGAGUAUUGUUUGUGGUAUCUUGUGUUUGGUUUGUCAAUAUUGUGUCAAGCCGAGCCGGCUCGCAGUUAGUUGUUUUGGUGUUUUAUGUUCCUUAUGUUGUGAUGUCGCUGUGUUAUGUUUCAGCCGUGUGGGCUGUAUAUUAAAUCUUCGUGGUUGUGUUAUUUAUCCAGCCGUGUGGGCUGUUAUAUACUGCUGAUGAGUAUGUCUGUGGUUAUAUGUACUUAUGCUUCAUAUUGUCACCGGUACAAGGGAGAUGAUGCCGAAAUUGUCGGUAGGGACGCCUCUAGGGGUGUGACAA